AGUGAACGCUGGCGGUAGGCCUAACACAUGCAAGUCGAACGGCAGCACAGUAAGAGCUUGCUCUUACGGGUGGCGAGUGGCGGACGGGUGAGGAAUACAUCGGAAUCUACUUUUUCGUGGGGGAUAACGUAGGGAAACUUACGCUAAUACCGCAUACGACCUACGGGUGAAAGCAGGGGAUCUUCGGACCUUGCGCGAUUGAAUGAGCCGAUGUCGGAUUAGCUAGUUGGCGGGGUAAAGGCCCACCAAGGCGACGAUCCGUAGCUGGUCUGAGAGGAUGAUCAGCCACACUGGAACUGAGACACGGCCCAGACUCUUACGGAAGGCACAGGUGGGGAAUAUUGGCAAAUGGGGGAAAGCUUGACCAAGCCAUACCGGUUGGUUGAAGAAGGCCUUCGGGUGGUAAAGCCUUUUUGUUGGGAAAAAAAGCCAGCGGUUUAAUCCCCCGCUGUCUGACGGUACCCAAAGAAUAAGCACCGGCUAACUUCGUG
rnacentral:rRNA from 1 species